CCUACGGGAGGCAGCAGUGGGGAAUAUUGCACAAUGGGGGAAACCCUGAUGCAGCGACGCCGCGUGAGUGAAGAAGUAAUUCGUUACGUAAAGCUCUAUCAGCAGGGGAGAAAAUGACGGUACCUGAGUAAGAAGCCCCGGCUAACUACGUGCCAGCAGCCGCGGUAAUACGUAGGGGGCCAGCGUUAUCCGGAUUUACUGGGUGUAAAGGGAGCGUAGACGGGGUGGCAAGUCUGAAGUGAAAGGCCGGGGAUUAAACGCGGGACUGCAUUGGAAACUGGUAAACUAGAGUGCAGGAGGGGUAAGCGGAAUUCCGAGUGUAGCGGUGAAAUGCGUAGAUAUUAGGAGGAACACCGGUGGCGAAGGCGGCUUACUGGACUGUAACUGACGUUGAGGCUCGAAAGCGUGGGGAGCAAACAGGAUUAGAUACCCUAGUAGUC
rnacentral:rRNA from 1 species